rnacentral:rRNA from 1 species
GGGGAGCACACAACGGGUGGAGCUGCGGUUUAAUCGACUCAACGCCGGGCAGCUCACGGAUAGGACAGCGGAAUGAUAGCCGGGCUGAAGACCCUUGCUUGACCAGCUGAGAGGAGGUGCAUGGCCGUCGUCAGUUCGUACUGUGAAGCAUCCUGUUUAGUCAGGCAACGAGCGAGACCCACGCCAACAGUUGCUAGCAUGUUCUCCGGAAUGAUGAGGACACUGUUGGGACCGCCUCUGCUAAAGAGGAGGAAGGAAUGGGCAACGGUAGGUCAGCAUGCCCCGAAUUAUCCGGGCUACACGCGGGCUACAAUGGUCAGGACAAUGGGAAACGGCACUGAAAAGUGUAGUCAAUCUCCUAAACCUGUCCCAAGUUCGGAUUGUGGGCUGCAACUCGCCCACAUGAGGCUGGAAUCCGUAGUAAUCGCGUUCAAAAUAGCGCGGGAAUAAGUCCCUGCUCCUGCACACACCGUU